AUCUUAUUUAAAACACGCAUCUGACGAAAUCCAGCAAGACUCAGAUUACCGUAAAUGUUAGAACGUUUGCUCAUGGAUCAGAAGGUGGAGACCCCAAGAAUCUUAACCAGUGGCAUGGAGAAGACUCGCCCGUUACCUGCAACCCUGAAGCACAUCCUGGUGGGUUGCCAAACCAGUUUCUCUCAGGACCAUUACACCUGGUGGCACAAUCAGGUGUUACAGUGUUUUGCAGGAGUGCUGGAGAAGCAAUGCUCUACCCUCUCUGGUAACUCAGCGACCACCAGCAGUAUUUAUACGUGAAUCCAUCACCCUUUACUAGGUGGGGACUCUUGGCAGCUAGAUGGUUCGUGAGACUGGAAACUGCUGGUGGAUUUGAAUUUGCUUUCCACCUGAGAUUGUGUCUACCAGCCUUAAACCUGACAUUGUGUUGUGGUCUUAAUAUUAUUUACAUCAUAUACCUUGUACCAUUGGGAGGAUGCAGUUGAGGAGGCUUACGAGCACAAGAAAAGGAGAUAUGCUGAACUUGCAGCUGAAGCACAACAACAUGGCUGGAAGACAAAGGUCGGACUUGUCGAGGUGGGAUGCAGAAGAUUAAUUAGCCUUUACAACAUCAAGGCUGCUAUAUGAGCUUGACGUGUGGGGCUAGGGUCAUUGGCGGGCAAUGAAGGAUCUCUCCAGAGCUCCUGAAAGAGGCAGCCAGACCAGUGGCUCUUGAAGAGAAAGAGAAAAAAGCUUGGGGGUGAACCUGAGACCAUGGGAUUCACUUCCGAUCUCGCUGGAGAUGUCUUGGGCCUAUCAGCAAAACAUUGAGGAAUGAGGGGGGCCACUUGAGAACUUCAAUCAUUCAGUUGAUUAAUUCCACAGAGACCAAGCUGCAGGUCUUGUAAAUGCAGGACUCUUAAAAGUAGGAAGCUUUUUGCUUUUCUCCAACUUAAUUUAUCUAUUGUCUCUGUAACUUUAACCUGAAUAUUUUUAAAAUUAAAGUUUUUUUUUUCA